rnacentral:rRNA from 1 species
ACGGCUCAGUAACACGUAGUCAACAUGCCCAGGGGACGUGGAUAACCUCGGGAAACUGAGGAUAAACCGCGAUAGGUCACUGCUUCUGGAAUGGGCAAUGACCCAAACCUACAUGGCCCCUGGAUUGGACUGCGGCCGAUCAGGCUGUUGGUGAGGUAAUGGCCCACCAAACCUGUAACCGGUACGGGCUCUGAGAGAAGGAGCCCGGAGAUGGGCACUGAGACAAGGGCCCAGGCCCUAUGGGGCGCAGCAGGCGCGAAACCUCUGCAAUAGGCGAAAGCUUGACAGGGUUACUCUGAGUGAUGCCCGCUAAGGGUAUCUUUUGGCACCUCUAAAAAUGGUGCAGAAUAAGGGGUGGGCAAGUCUGGCGUCAGCCGCCGCGGUAAUACCAGCACCCCGAGUUGUCGGGACGAUUAUUGGGCCUAAAGCAUCCGUAGCCUGUUCUGCAAGUCCUCCGUUAAAUCCACCUGCUUAACGGAUGGGCUGCGGGGGAUACUGCAGAGCUAGGAGGCGGGAGAGGCAAACGGUACUCAGUGGGUAGGGGUAAAAUCCUUUGAUCUACUGAAGACCACCAGUGGCGAAGGCGGUUUGCCAGAACGCGCUCGACGGUGAGGGAUGAAAGCUGGGGGAGCAAACCGGAUUAGAUACCCGGGUAGUCCCAGCUGUAAACGAUGCAGACUCGGUGAUGGGUUGGCCUC